CCUACGGGAGGCAGCAGUGAGGAAUAUUGGUCAAUGGGCGGGAGCCUGAACCAGCCAAGCCGCGUGAAGGAAGAAGGCGCCAGGCGUCGUAAACUUCUUUUGUCGGGGAACAAAGGCCGCCACUCGUGGCGUUGUGAGUGUACCCGAAGAAAAAGCAUCGGCUAACUCCGUGCCAGCAGCCGCGGUAAUACGGAGGAUGCGAGCGUUAUCCGGAUUUACUGGGUGUAAAGGGCGUGUAGGCGGGACUGCAAGUCAGGUGUGAAAACCACGGGCUCAACCUGUGGCGUGCCUUUGAAACUGUAGUUCUGGAGUACGGGAGAGGUAGACGGAAUUCGUGGUGUAGCGGUGAAAUGCGUAGAUAUUAGGAGGAACACCAGUGGCGAAGGCAGUGUGCUGGACAGCAACUGACGCUGUGGCGCGAAAGCGUGGGGAGCAAACAGGAUUAGAUACCCGGGUAGUC
rnacentral:rRNA from 1 species